AUAUACUAAUGCAACUGCGAAUAGCUGUUUAAUACAGUCGUAAUUGUAUUGACUUAUAUAUGUAAAUAAUAAUAGUUAUUUAUUUGGAUAACUAAGGGAAAGUUUGGCUAAUACGUUUAAAAUAUAAUAAUAGAUUAUGCACAUAAUAAUAAUAUUAAUAUAUGAUAAAUAUUAUGUAAAUAAGAGUAUUUUUUUACUCUAAUAGAGCAGACUUUAUAAUAUUUUAAUUAUUAUAAAGCAUGUCAAACAAGCAUCUAUAGCAUCAAGUCACAAUGUUGGCAUGUGUAUUAUUGAACCUUCAAAGCAUUUACGCAUUCGGAGGAGUAGUUUCUGAUCCCGUCGAAGGUGCCUGAGAGACGGCACUUAGUUCUAAGGAACGCAGCAGGCGCGUAAAUUGCCCAAUGACAAAACAUGUUAUACUAAAACUCAAUAUAUAAUAUUUUUAUUGAGGCAGUGACAAGCUGUAAAGAUUGAAUAUAUUAAUUAAGAUAACAUUUGGAAUUGUCGUUUUAUAAUAUU
rnacentral:rRNA from 1 species